rnacentral:lncRNA from 1 species
UAAUCUCUAAGGAUCUAUAGUCAGGGUAGUGUUUAUGUGAUAAUUCAUUAUUUGUGAGAUAUUUAAGCCUAUAAUAUUUGAAUAAAAUGGUAACAUUAGGUUGUGUUAGACUUAUUUAUUUUUGUUAGUAUGCCUUUUGCUUGAAUAGUAAGAAACACACUAGGUGCUUUUUUGUUGUUUUUAUGUGUGUAGGAGUAACUCUA